rnacentral:rRNA from 1 species
GCCAGAGACCGAUAGCGCACAAGUAGAGUGAUCGAAAGAUGAAAAGCACUUUGGAAAGAGAGUCAAACAGUACGUGAAAUUGUUGAAAGGGAAGCGCUUGCAACCAGACUUGCCCGCGGGUGAUCAGCCGGUAUUCUUACCGGUGCACUCGCCCGUGGUCAGGCCAGCAUCGGUUUGGGCGGCUGGAUAAAGUCCACCGGAACGUAGCUCCUCUCGGGGAGUGUUAUAGCCGGAGGUGCAAUGCAGCCCGCCCGGACCGAGGACCGCGCUUCGGCUAGGAUGCUGGCGUAAUGGUUGUAAGCGACCCGUCUUGAAACACGGACCAAGGAGUCUAACAUCUAUGCGAGUGUUUGGGUGUCAAACCCAUGCGCGUAAUGAAAGUGAACGGAGGUGGGAACCCUCCAGGGUGCACCAUCGACCGAUCCUGAUGUCUUCGGAUGGAUUUGAGUAAGAGCAUAGCUGUUGGGACCCGAAAGAUGGUGAACUAUGCCUGAAUAGGGUGAAGCCAGAGGAAACUCUGGUGGAGGCUCGCAGCGGUUCUGACGUGCAAAUCGAUCGUCAAAUUUGGGUAUAGGGGCGAAAGACUAAUCGAACCAUCUGCGACUAGAUGGCACACGGGGCAUGGCGCCCGAGUAGUCCCCGCGCCGGCGGGGGCGACAUCGUCGGUCUCUCGGGGACGCCUCCAGGCCACCCGCAGUGAGCUUCAGGGCUCAUUCACAGACUAGGUGACGGUGGCCGUGCCCGAAGCGCGGUUAGGAUAUAG